AGGGUGCAAGCGUUAAUCGGAAUUACUGGGCGUAAAGCGUGCGCAGGCGGUUUGUUACGUCCGCUGUGAAAUCCCCGAGCUCAACUUGGGAAUUGCAGUGGAUACUGGCAAGCUGGAGUAUGGUAGAGGAAGGUGGAAUUCCCGGUGUAGCAGUGAAAUGCGUAGAGAUCGGGAGGAACACCAGUGGCGAAGGCGGCCUUCUGGACCAAUACUGACGCUCAUGCACGAAAGCGUGGGGAGCAAACAGG
rnacentral:rRNA from 1 species